rnacentral:lncRNA from 1 species
GCCCCGACUCCGCGGCCGCAGCCCCAGAACAAAUCCUCCAGAAUCAAGUGGCGGGGCCGCGGCCGCCCGCGCGGGGUUAGUACCCCCGGGGCCCGCGGGGCGGGGCUGGCGGAGCGACGCGUCGCACAGCCAAUCGGCGGAGCCCCCAUCGCGGGCACCUCGGUGGCGUUCGCGGGGAGGAACGGGGCCUGCCGGAGGCCGCCCAACGGGGAGGGGCGGAAGGCGCCACCCCGCGGAGGAGGCCCCAGUGCCACAGCCCAGGGCCCCCGAGAGCUCUGGGAGCCCGGGGCAAAUGCUAGAAAUUUGCUUAGAACGUCCGGGUCCCACGGAAGGCGCCCUUGCCGCCCUCUCUCGGGUCGUAGCUCCCUGACGCUGGGGCGCAACCCCUUCGCUCCUCCUCCCCGCUGGCCGCGGCCGGGCUUCCCCAGCUCUUGCUGCUUCGGGCCUGUGACUUCUGCAACCCCGGGCUGGGGGCCGCGGGGUCUCAGGGCCGGUGACGCCGCACUGGGAGCCGCCCCAAAGAGGUUACUCACCUCCCUCGUCCCGCACAUUAUUCUGACCCAAGAGCCUCCACCCCACACGGGAUUUUGCGCGUCGUCCACGCCCGGCCGGCGGCCUUUGCUGCUCCCAGCCCUGCGCGGCUUUGGUCCCAGCCUCGGUGGCCCCUGUGCCAAACCGGGGACAGGCGGAAGGGAGUCUCCUAGGGACCCUAAGUAGCCUGGGGCCAACAACCCCUUUCCUCUCUGCUCUCCCCUCAAAACAAGUUUCAGGAUCUUGCAGGCCUCGCGGCGUCGUUCUUCGUUGUGGCGGCCUGUGGCUCUUUGAAAAACACGACGAGGCCUGCAAAAUGCGUUUUUCUUUUUUUCCUUUACGCAUGUAACCACGGUCCUGCAUCGUGAAACGGUACGCGCGUCGGUGGCAAAAGAAAAACAGCAGUGGCUGCAAAGCUAAGGGCCCUCGCUUUCAGAGGAGAGAAUUUUCUUUCUCCAUGCGGGUGGAAAGUGGCCUCUGCGGGUCCAACCCCACUUCUUCUUGGGCCCGUGCGCUCCGGCUGCGCCGCAGGGACCGCGGACAGCUUCGCCAAGGCACUGCCUGCCCGCCCGGCUCCGGGUCCCCGCUCCCACUCCCAGCCGCGUGGCCCAACCUCUCCUGGGCUUCACUGCAAAUCACCCCUUCCUCUCCCGCCUCCUAAGUCUGUCGAGCAGACCUAGGGGCCGGCUACAGUUGGGAGGGCAACGGGAAAGAUCAAGCCACAAUCAUUCCGAAUUAUCGCCCCAGACACCUCCCUAGACUCUGGGGAACGAACGCGUGCUGAGCCUCCCCGCCGCUUUGGAGACGGGGCUAGAUUUUCGUUGCCUCCGGCUCUCGACAGGUGCAAAACAAUGAAUUCCAAGCCUCGGAAGCAAAGAAGCUUAGGAUCCGACGGUGGCCGCAAGAUCUCAUCAUGGAUCUGACCCCUGCUCAGCGCGCGCCAUUUCGUCGUUGCCAAACGAAAUCAAGCCCCGCGUGCGCUCCAGGGGCGAAGGACUCUGGACUCACCCCGACCACCGGGAGAGCUGGCCCCUACCCACCUCGGGACCUCACAGCACGCCCUCAGGCCGUGUCGAAAGGAAGGACGGCAAAGGUCCCUUACUGAACCUUUUAAGAGAGCCUGCGCCUGGCAGUUGUCGAUUGCGGACCCAGGCCCGCGCGCCCUCGGACGCGCUGGCACGAGCAGCAGAACUAGAGGAAAGCGAGUGAUCCAGCCUGGGCGCUCCCACCUCCGGGAACGUCUCCGAGAAGGCGCAGCGCGUCGUGGCCAGCUGGGGAAACCGAGGCCCAGGAAGGAUCAGAGAUUUGCCCACCGUCACAGAAGGUGCUUAUUGACAAGUGGACUUGACUCUGAGGCUCCUGUCAGCUGGCCCGGUUGCCUCUGCACAAACUUUCGGAGGAUCUGGCCUCAGCAUCAGCUCAGCUUGCCCUUGUCCCGCCGCCUUUAGCCCAGGUGGUCUGUCAGGCACCCUCAGUGUCCAGGCCUGGAAAUCACAGCUAAGAGUCCUUGGCAGGCAAUAAAGUUCCUCUUCUAUGGCUUGAAUGUCUCCCAAAAGUCAUACAUUAAAACUUCACCCCCAUUGUGAUGGUAUUAAGAGGCAGUGGGGGGCCUUUCGGGAAGUGAUUAAGUGGUGAAGGCUCUGCCCUCAUGAAUGGAUUAGGCCCUCUUUGCCCUUCUGACUUCAG